GGGACAGUAGGUUGGUCGUGCCACCGGUACGUACUGGUCUCACUGAUUCCUCCUUCCUGAAGAACCGUAAUGCCAUUAAUUUGGUGUUGCGGGGAAACAGGCAUGUUACUUUGAAAAAAUUAGAGUGUUUAAAGCAAGCUAACGCUUGAAUACAUUAGCAUGGAAUAAUGAAAUAGGACGAUCGAUCCUAUUUUGUUGGUUUCUAGGAUUGACGUA
rnacentral:rRNA from 1 species